rnacentral:rRNA from 2 species
UAACCGGCGAUUUCCGAAUGGGGAAACCCAGUGUGAUUCGUCACACUAUCAUUAACUGAAUCCAUAGGUUAAUGAGGCGAACCGGGGGAACUGAAACAUCUAAGUACCCCGAGGAAAAGAAAUCAACCGAGAUUCCCCCAGUAGCGGCGAGCGAACGGGGAGCAGCCCAGAGCCUGAAUCAGUGUGUGUGUUAGUGGAAGCGUCUGGAAAGGCGCGCGAUACAGGGUGACAGCCCCGUACACAAAAAUGCACAUAUUGUGAGCUCGAUGAGUAGGGCGGGACACGUGGUAUCCUGUCUGAAUAUGGGGGGCCCAUCCUCCAAGGCUAAAUACUCCUGACUGACCGAUAGUGAACCAGUACCGUGAGGGAAAGGCGAAAAGAACCCCGGCGAGGGGAGUGAAAAAGAACCUGAAACCGUGUACGUACAAGCAGUGGGAGCACGCUUAGGCGUGUGACUGCGUACCUUUUGUAUAAUGGGUCAGCGACUUAUAUUCUGUAGCAAGGUUAACCGAAUAGGGGAGCCGAAGGGAAACCGAGUCUUAACUGGGCGUUAAGUUGCAGGGUAUAGACCCGAAACCCGGUGAUCUAGCCAUGGGCAGGUUGAAGGUUGGGUAACACUAACUGGAGGACCGAACCGACUAAUGUUGAAAAAUUAGCGGAUGACUUGUGGCUGGGGGUGAAAGGCCAAUCAAACCGGGAGAUAGCUGGUUCUCCCCGAAAGCUAUUUAGGUAGCGCCUCGUGAAUUCAUCUCCGGGGGUAGAGCACUGUUUCGGCA